rnacentral:rRNA from 1 species
UACAGAGGGGCGAAGCGUUGUUCGGAAUUACUGGGCGUAAAGGGCGCGUAGGCGGCCUGCUAAGUCGAACGUGAAAUCCCCGGGCUCAACCUGGGAACUGCAUCUGUGACUGCAUCGCUGGAGUACGGUAGAGGGGAUGGAAUUCCGCGUGUAGCAGUGAAAUGCGUAGAUAUGCGGAGGAACACCGAUGGCGAAGGCAAUCCCCUGGACCUGUACUGACGCUCAUGCACGAAAGCGUGGGGAGCAAACAGG